rnacentral:ncRNA from 1 species
UAUAAGUGUCAGGCGAGACCGCCCAGCCCAGAGCGCAGAAGUAUAAGGUAUGAAGUAUGAAGUAUGAAGCGAAUCGCACUGCGAUUUUUUGCCUCAUACCUCAUAUCUCAUACUUCAUACUAUGCUUUCCGGGCUGGGAGGAAGGUGGGGAUGACGCCAAGUCAGCAUGGCCCUCUGACACCCUGGGCUACACACGUGUUACAAUCGCAUCUACAACAGGACGCAAUAUCGUAAGAUGGAGCAAACCCUUAUAAAAGAUGCGCCAGUUCGGAUUGAGGUCUGCAACUCGACCUCAUGAAGCCGGAAUCGCUAGUAAUCGCAGGUCAGCUAUACUGCGGUGAAUACGUUCUCAAGUCUUGUACUCACCGCCCGUCAACCCAAGGGAGUCGGAGGUGCCCAAAAUCUCGCCUCGUGCGGGCCUACGGCAAAUUCGAUGACAGGGGGUAAGUCGUAACAAGGCACGGGUAGCGGAAGCUGCUCGUGGAAUAUUUCAAAA